CGGACGGGUGAGUAACGCGUGAGAAUCUACCUUGGAGUCGGGGACAACCACGGGAAACUGUGGCUAAUACCGGAUGUGCCGAAAAGUGAAAGGAGUAAUCCACCCAAAGAGAAGCUCGCGGCUGAUUAGCUAGUUGGUAAGGUAAUGGCUUACCAAGGCGACGAUCAGUAGCUGGUUUGAGGGAACGAUCAGCCACACUGGAACUGAGACACGGUCCAGACUCCUACGGGAGGCAGCAGUGGGGAAUUUUCCGCAAUGGGCGAAAGCCUGACGGAGCAAUACCGCGUGAGGGAUGAAGGCCUUUGGGUUGUAAACCUCUUUUCUCAGGGAAGAAAAAAAUGACGGUACCUGUGGAAUAAGCAUCGGCUAACUCCGUGCCAGCAGCCGCGGUAAGACGGAGGAUGCAAGCGUUAUCCGGAAUGAUUGGGCGUAAAGCGUCCGCAGGUGGCUCUUCAAGUCUGCUGUCAAAGAGCAAGGCUCAACCUUGUCAAGGCAGUGGAAACUGAAAGGCUAGAGUGUGGUAGGGGUAGAGGGAAUUCCCAGUGUAGCGGUGAAAUGCGUAGAGAUUGGGAAGAACACCGGUGGUGAAAGCGCUCUACUGGACCUGCACUGACACUGAGGGACGAAAGCUAGGGGAGCGAAUGGGAUUAGAUACCCCAGUAGUC
rnacentral:rRNA from 1 species